ACAUGCAAGUCGAGCGGACAGAUGGGAGCUUGCUCCCUGAUGUUAGCGGCGGACGGGUGAGUAACACGUGGGUAACCUGCCUGUAAGACUGGGAUAACUCCGGGAAACCGGGGCUAAUACCGGAUGCUUGUAUUGAACCGCAUGGUUCAAACAUAAAAGGUGGCUUCGGCUACCACUUAC
rnacentral:rRNA from 1 species